UACGAAGGGGGCUAGCGUUGCUCGGAAUCACUGGGCGUAAAGCGCACGUAGGCGGCUUUUUAAGUCAGAGGUGAAAUCCUGGAGCUCAACUCCAGAACUGCCUUUGAUACUGGAGAGCUUGAGUCCGGGAGAGGUGAGUGGAACUGCGAGCGUAGAGGUGAAAUUCGUAGAUAUUGGGAAGAACACCGGUGGCGAAGGCGGCUCUCUGGACCGUAACUGACGCUGAGGCGCGAAAGCGUGGGGAGCAAACAGG
rnacentral:rRNA from 1 species